rnacentral:tRNA from 1 species
UAGAUUGAAGCCAGGUAUAGGGUAUCUAGCUGUUAACUAGAAGAAUCAUAGGUUAAAUCCUAUCAGUCUAGG